rfam:Oryza sativa Japonica Group DNA, chromosome 8, cultivar: Nipponbare, complete sequence.
AGCUGCGUGGUGAGCACAAAGCGAACUAUUCUUUCGCCUUUUACUAAAGAAUACCGUGUGCGCGCCACAAUUAGCAGCAUACGCUAAAUUUAAAUUUAAAGCUUUGUUUUACUAAAUCU